GGCGGUGGCGGUGUGCUCGGACGAGCUCUAGCGCGUCCGGCUUGACGCGGUCGAGUCGUCCGCCACGCCUCCUGAAAAUCGGAAGGUCGGCGGUUCGACCCCGCCUCUGGCCA
rnacentral:tRNA from 1 species